rnacentral:hammerhead_ribozyme from 1 species
UUCGACGAGUCCCAAAUAGGACGAAAUGCGCAUCCUGGAU